rnacentral:rRNA from 1 species
GACGAACGCUGGCGGCGUGCUUAACACAUGCAAGUCGAGCGGAAAGGCCUCCUUCGGGGGGUACCCGAGCGGCGAACGGGUGAGUAACACGUGGGUGAUCUGCCCCCUACUCUGGGAUAAGCCUGGGAAACUGGCUCUAAUACCGGAUAUGACCUCCUUCUGCAUGGUUGGUGGUGGCAAGUUUUUUCGGUAGGGGAUGAGCCCGCUGCCUGUCAGCUUGUUGGUGGGGUAAGGGCCAACCAAGGCGACGACGGGUAGCCGGCCUGAGAGGGCGACCGGCCACACUGGGACUGAGACACGGCCCAGACUCCGACGGGAGGCAGCAGUGGGGAAUAUUGCACAAUGGGCGAAAGCCUGAUGCAGCGACGCCGCGUGGGGGAUGACGGCCUUCGGGUUGUAAACCCCUUUCAGUCGGGACGAAGCGAGAGUGACGGUACCGAUAGAAGAAGCACCGGCCAACUACGUGCCAGCAGCCGCAGUAAAAC